GUGCUCGCUUCGGCAGCACAUAUACUAAAAUUGGAACGAUACAGAGAUUAGCAUGGCCCCUGCGCAAGGAUGACACGCAAAUUUGUGAAGCAUUCCGUAUUUAA
rnacentral:snRNA from 1 species